UUUUUGUACAGGUUCUCCUGGGUUGACACAGUCUGCUCUGCUAUGUGAAGCCUAUAAGAAACCAUGUGUACAGGGAUUAACUUUAGCAAGCAGCAGAAACCAUAACACAACAGUGGCACAUUGAAAUUACCCCACUGCAUGAUUCAUAUUUAAAAUCAAUAUUAUUUUGAGUCACGCAUUUAAUAAAGAAGCGAGUCGACGGCGUUUCCUAACGGAGCCAUUACACGAUGGAGCGGAUUUUAUCCUCACCGCGGGCCAUUUAAUUCUAGUCUCGCCGUGACGUCACUCCCCGUGUCUGACGGAUUUCUCGGCUGCGUGGAGCGCGUGGUCGCGAGCACAUGGAAAUGAGGUGGAGAUCUGGGUCUGAAAGACGCGCAAGUGAUCAUCCGAAAAAUGGAAUAUAAUAUAUAUAGCAACCGAAUGAUCCGGCAGUUGGUGCAGGCCCAUGCGUUCCACCCAUCAACCUCUCCAUCCCUCCAGCUCUCGAUCCCCCUCCUCCAUCUAUGCCCCUUCAAUCCAUCCCUUCACCGCUCUUCCCCUUUCACCUCUCCAUCUCUCCCCUCUCCUCCACCCCCUUCCCAUGUGCCACCCCUCGCGCCGCCCCCUCCAUCCCUCCGACCUUGUCAAGUUGGCCGGAGGCGGCAGCCGUACCAGGACUCCAGAUAUGGAUCUGAAAUGAAGAUGUGUACUGGCGGCGGCACACACCCCCACACACACACACACACACACGUGCGUGCACACACUCACGCUCACACUCGUGCUCAUGCUCACACUCACACUCACGCUCACACUCACACACACAGUGGCUGCACGGAUGUUGACUUAUAGAUACUUCCUUAUUUUACUCUCUCCUGAGAGCGGCCCCUUGGGAGACGAUGCAGUGGGGAAGUACCUAGCCUUCCAACAGUCACAGUGUGGUGGGGCCUCAGAGAGACACCUUAAAGGGGAGCUGUCGAGGCUGAAGUAGAGGCUAAAGUAGAGCUGAAAGAAGAGACUGAAGAAGACUAGAGCCUAAAGUUCUAGAGACAACAGUAGAGACAAAGACGACUAGUCUGGAGCUCUAGGGACAACAGUAGAGACUAAAGACGACUAGGGUAAAGCUCUAGAGACUACAGUAGAGCCUUAAGAAGACUAGAGUCUAAAGCUCUAGAGACUACAAUAGACUAAAGAAGACUAGAUCCAGAAGCUCUAGAGACAACAGUAGAGACUAAAGACGACUAGUCUAAAGCUCUAGAGACUACAGUAGAGACUAAAGCCGACUAGAGUAAAACUCUACAGACAACAAUAGAGGCUAAAGACGACUAGAGUCUAAAGCUCUAGAGACUCUAUCUCUAGAGACUUAAUUUGUCUGUAGCAGAGACUGAAGUAGAGUCAAAAGGCUGCAGUAAAACCAGAGCAGCGUGUGCUGUAGAGGCUGGAGUAGAGACUACAGCAGAGAAUGAGUUUGAGGUACAGAGACUGAUUUUGCCAUACAACUGUCUGAAGUUAAGGUUUACUGUAGUAUUGCAUAGCUGUGCUGUUAAUGAUGUCAAAGUCCAUUCAAAGCUCAUUCCAUUGAUAAUAACGGAAACAACUUGAAACAACAUCCCUCAGCUUGAGGAAUGUAGCCAUCAUUUAUGCACACUUCCCUAUCGACAAUGUACACACCUUUAUGUGUGUGUGUGUGUGUGUGUGUGUGUGUGUGUGUGUGUGUGUGUGUGUGUGUGUGUGUGUGUGUGUGUGUGUGUGUGUGUGUGUGUCUGUGUGUGUGCGUGUGUGUGUGUGUGUGUGUGUGUGUGUGU
ensembl:lncRNA